rnacentral:rRNA from 1 species
CAGUAGCCGCGGGAAUACGUAGGGCGCAAGCGUUAUCCGGAAUUAUUGGGCGUAAAGAGCUCGUAGGCGGUUUGUCGCGUCUGCCGUGAAAGUCCGGGGCUCAACCCCGGAUCUGCGGUGGGUACGGGCAGACUAGAGUGAUGUAGGGGAGACUGGAAUUCCUGGUGUAGCGGUGAAAUGCGCAGAUAUCAGGAGGAACACCGAUGGCGAAGGCAGGUCUCUGGGCAUUAACUGACGCUGAGGAGCGAAAGCAUGGGGAGCGAACAGGAUUAGAUACCCGCGUAGUCCCUGUCUCUUAUAC